GCCGAAGUGGCGGAAUGGCAGACGCACUAGACUCAAAAUCUGGCGCUCUUACGGGCGUAAGGGUUCAAGUCCCUUCUUCGGCACCA
rnacentral:tRNA from 1 species